CGGCUCAGUAACACGUGGACAAUCUGCCCUAUCGUGGUGAAUAAUCUCGGGAAACUGAGGGUAAUACACCAUAGGCCUCCGGCACUGGAAUGUCCGGAGACCCAAAGCUCCGGCGCGAUAGGAUGAGUCUGCGGAUGAUUAGCUAGUAGGCGGUGUAAUGGACCACCUAGGCUAUAAUCAUUAAGGGUCUUGAGAGAGAUAGCCCUGAGACGGAAUCUGAGACACUAUUCCGAGCCUUACGGGGUGCAGCAGGCGCGAAAACUUUGCAAUACACGAAAGUGUGACAAGGGGAUUCCAAGUGUGCAUAUACCAUAUGCACUUUUUCGAAGUUUAAAACGCUUUGGGAAUAAGGGGUGGGCAAGACUAGUGCCAGCCGCCGCGGUAAAACUAGCAUCUCGAGUGGCAGCCACAAUUACUGGGCUUAAAGCGUCCGUAGCUCGUUCAGAAAGUCCCCGGUGAAAUCCUAUGGCUUAACCAUAGGGCUUGCCAGGGAAACUCCUGGACUUGAAGGCAGGAGAGGUCAGGGGUACGUCUGGGGUAGGGGUGAAAUCCUAUAAUCCUAGACGGACCAACAGUGGCGAAGGCGCCUGACAUGAAUGCGCUUGACAGUGAGGGACGAGAGCCAGGGUCGCGAAACGGA
rnacentral:rRNA from 1 species